AGGAUUUAAGAAACACCGGUGAAGAAAUUUCUCUUCUCUGUUUGAAAUAGAAAAAGGCAGAAAUGUGCAUGCCAUCAGCUUGACAAACCUGUGAGUUUCCUGGUGGUGUGGUGGAGUUAACAGAGCACUGCGUACAAGGAUGGAAAUAACUCGACACAGAGCAUGGUCUUUCAGCAGCAGACACAGCUUUACACCACACGUUAUUACUUCUUGUAAAAGCUGCCAUUCCCCUUUCUCAUCUCUAGAUCAUCGGAUGACAGCUCUGGCAGAAACAAAUAGCAGGCUCAACGCCUCUUUUUUAACAUAAUGAUUAGAUUCAAGACCUGCAAUUCCGUCAAAAUGCAGUCACGGGUCAAUGUGCUCCUAUUAUCACAGCUGGGGCUGCAAUCCUGGU
rnacentral:lncRNA from 1 species